rnacentral:rRNA from 1 species
GGAUAUUGCACAAUGGGCGAAAGCCUGAUGCAGCGACGCCGCGUGAGGGAUGACGGUCUUCGGAUUGUAAACCUCUGUCCUUGGUGAAGAAGAAAGUGACGGUAGCCAAGGAGGAAGCCACGGCUAACUACGUGCCAGCAGCCGCGGUAAUACGUAGGUGGCAAGCGUUGUCCGGAAUUACUGGGUGUAAAGGGAGCGCAGGCGGGCUUGCAAGUCAGCUGUGAAAUUCAAGGGCUUAACCCUUGACAUGCAGUUGAAACUACAGGUCUUGAGUGAAGUAGAGGUAGGCGGAAUUCCGAGUGUAGCGGUAAAAUGCGUAGAUAUUCGGAGGAACACCGGUGGCGAAGGCGGCCUACUGGGCUUUUACUGACGCUGAGGCUCGAAAGUGUGGGGAGCAAACA